UACGAAGGUGGCAAGCGUUGUUCGGAUUUACUGGGCGUACAGGGAGCGUAGGCGGUUGGAUAAGCCCUCCGUGAAAUCUCCAGGCUUAACCUGGAAAGUGCAGAGGGGACUGUUCAGCUAGAGGAUGGGAGAGGAGCGCGGAAUUCCCGGUGUAGCGGUGAAAUGCGUAGAGAUCGGGAGGAAGGCCGGUGGCGAAGGCGGCAUCCUGGACCGGCAUUGACGCUGAGGCGCGAAAGCUAGGGGAGCAAACGGG
rnacentral:rRNA from 1 species